rnacentral:rRNA from 1 species
CCUACGGGAGGCUGCAGUGGGGAAUAUUGGACAAUGGGGGCAACCCUGAUCCAGCCAUGCCGCGUGUGUGAAGAAGGCCCUCGGGUUGUAAAGCACUUUCAGUGAGGAAGAACGCCUGGUGGUUAAUACCCAUCAGGAAAGACAUCACUCACAGAAGAAGCACCGGCUAACUCCGUGCCAGCAGCCGCGGUAAUACGGAGGGUGCGAGCGUUAAUCGGAAUUACUGGGCGUAAAGCGCGCGUAGGUGGCUUGAUAAGCCGGUUGUGAAAGCCCCGGGCUCAACCUGGGAACGGCAUCCGGAACUGUCAAGCUAGAGUGAAGGAGAGGAAGGUAGAAUUCCCGGUGUAGCGGUGAAAUGCGUAGAGACCGGGAGGAAUACCAGUGGCGAAGGCGGCCUUCUGGACUGACACUGACACUGAGGUGCGAAAGCGUGGGUAGCAAACAGGAUUAGAUACCCUAGUAGUC